rnacentral:rRNA from 1 species
GACGAACGCUGGCGGCGUGCUUAACACAUGCAAGUCGAACGGAAAGGCCCUGCUUUUGUGGGGUGCUCGAUUGGCGAACGGGUGAGUAACACGUGAGUAUCCUGCCCUUGACUUUGGGAUAACUUCACGAAACUGGGGCUAAUAUCGGAUAGGAGCUCCUGCUGCACGGUGGGGGUUGGUAAGUUUCGGCGGUUGGGGCUGGACUCGCGGCUUAUCCGCUUGUUGGUGGGGUAGUGGCUUUCCAAGGUUUUGACGGGUAGCCGGCCUGAGAGGGUGACCGGCCACAAUGGGACUGAGAUACGGCGCAGAAUGCUACGGGAGGCAGCAGUCGGGAAUAUUGCGGAACGGGCGGAAGCCUGAUGCAGCAACGCCGCGUGCGGGAUGACGGCCUUCGGGUUAUAAACCGCUUUCGCAUGUGACGAGGCGGGAGUGACGGUAAUGAGUAAGGAAGCACCGGCUAACUACGUG